rnacentral:lncRNA from 1 species
CUUGGAUUUUAGGCGUAUGAAGAAAUAUCCAUUCUAGAAAAAUUUUCACACCCCAUUUUGUUGGUUUUUAGGUGUUUAAAGAGAUCCAUUCUAAAAAAAUCCCCAUGCCCUAUUUUCUUAGGUUUUGGGCAUUUGAAGAGAUAUCCAUUCUAGAAAAAACCUCAUGCCCCAUUUGGUUGGAUUUUAGGCAUUUAAAAAAGACCCAUUGUAGAAAAAUUCCCAUGCCUUAUUUUCUUGGGUUUUAGGUGUUUGAAGAGAUCCAUUCUAGAAAAAUUUCCAUGCUCUACUUUUUUGCCACGAAAGUC